rnacentral:rRNA from 1 species
UGAUUGACGAUGGAUCACCAGUGAGUGGCGGACGGGUGAGUAACACGUAGGUAACCUGCCCCGGAGCGGGGGAUAACAUUUGGAAACAGAUGCUAAUACCGCAUAACAACAAAAGCCACAUGGCUUUUCUUUGAAAGAUGGCUUUGGCUAUCACUCUGGGAUGGACCUGCGGUGCAUUAGCUAGUUGGUAAGGUAACGGCUUACCAAGGCGAUGAUGCAUAGCCGAGUUGAGAGACUGAUCGGCCACAAUGGAACUGAGACACGGUCCAUACUCCUACGGGAGGCAGCAGUAGGGAAUCUUCCACAAUGGGCGCAAGCCUGAUGGAGCAACACCGCGUGAGUGAAGAAGGGUUUCGGCUCGUAAAGCUCUGUUGUUGGAGAAGAACGUGCGUGAGAGUAACUGUUCACGCAGUGACGGUAUCCAACCAGAAAGUCACGGCUAACUACGUGCCAGCAGCCGCGGUAAUACGUAGGUGGCAAGCGUUAUCCGGAUUUAUUGGGCGUAAAGCGAGCGCAGGCGGUUGCUUAGGUCUGAUGUGAAAGCCUUCGGCUUAACCGAAGAAGUGCAUCGGAAACCGGGCGACUUGAGUGCAGAAGAGGACAGUGGAACUCCAUGUGUAGCGGUGGAAUGCGUAGAUAUAUGGAAGAACACCAGUGGCGAAGGCGGCUGUCUGGUCUGCAACUGACGCUGAGGCUCGAAAGCAUGGGUAGCGAACAGGAUUAGAUACCCUGGUAGUCCAUGCCGUAAACGAUGAGUGCUAGGUGUUGGAGGGUUU